CCUGCCUGAACUCUGUGAUCUGCUCUGGAGAAUCAGCUCUCUGGUCCAUCAAUAUGAGAACUUAGACUGACAGGUAUUAGGAACAGGGCCUUUUCAGUGGUGACCCCAUACUUAUAGAAUAUGAUCCCCUAUGAAGUACGUAUGGCCCCUUCAUUGCUGACAUUAAAAGAACAACCCUCAAAGCAUUUUUAUUUCAAUCUGCUUUUUAGUAAUAUUUUUAAUUCCCAUGCCUUGGUGUUUUUUCUGCCAGUUUCAAAGGGGUGCAAUUGGAGAUUAUAAAUGGCUGAUUUAUAUGCUUUGCGACUGGUAUUGCACACCGUCUUGUGAGGACACUUGUCAUAUAAAUCUUUUACUGAUUAAAAAAAUAAUAAUUUAUUUUGCCUGCAAAAUGGUUUUACUAUUGAUGGGGGUCAUCACGAGAGGUUUGACUAUAUGUAGGGUUGCUUUUUCUGCAGGUUCCCAGUACUAACGCAGCAGAUUUCUGCAUCCCCCUCAGAGUUCUGCAUUAAAUAUACAUUCCCUCCGAAUAAGAACAAGUGGGGCUUUCUCCUUCUGCUUUCUGUUUUAAAUAUGCUAUGCUGUAAUACUGUAAUCGUGCUUCUAAUGAUGUUCCCUGUGCAAUGGACAUGGAAUGUUUCUUUGUUGAUGCUCUUGGAUUUCUUAGCAACUGUGGGGGGGACUCUGCAGUAAUUCUGGCCCUAUCUAGGAGUAGAUUCCAGAAAGUAGUGCAGAUCCUCCCCUUGGCCUUCUGUUUGUGGAGUGCCACAGGAUUCAAUCGGUUCUUGACACUGCUGGGGGAAGUCAUCCAGAGGUACUGGUGGGCUGGUGACAGCCAACUCUCUCUCCCUCUCUCUGCCACCCAUUUCCCACCAAGGCAGUGAAUGUUCUGAACUGGGGCUUGGAGACAUUCAUUCUUAUUUGCUUGCACAAAACUUGCACAGUGGUUAGAAUAUGUACGGUCUUUAUUGAGCAUUUGUUUUUAUUCAUUCAUUCAUGGGUUGAUUAUAUAACAAGGAUCAUUCAUCCUGAUAGGCUUUGUUUACACAUAUUCCUCUUCAUCAUUUGAUCCUCCCACACUUUUCAGUGAACUUCCCAGUCACUUUCCAAACUGCAAAAAGGUUAUUAAAAACACACACACACACGAAGCGGAUUUGUUGCACUAGGGCUUUAAUCUGCUUGAAUUGCACAAACCUAAUGUUCUGGUAGGGACGUGGGUGGCGCUGUGAGUUAAACCACAGAGCCUAGGACUUGCCGAUCAGAAGGUCGGCAGUUCGAAUCCCCGCGACGGGCUGAGCUCCCGUUGCUCGGUCCCUGCUCCUGCCAACCUAACAGUUCAAAAGCACGUCAAAGUGCAAAUAGAUAAAUAGGUACCACUCUGGCGGGAAGGUAAACAGCGUUUCCGUGCGCUGCUCUGGUUCGCCAGAAGCGGCUUAGUCAUGCUGGCCACAUGACCCGGAAGCUGUACGCUGGCUCCCUCGGCCAAAAAAGUGAGAUGAGCGCCGCAACCCCAGAGUCGGCCAUGACUAGACCUAAUGGUCAGGCGUCCCUUUACCUAAUGUUCUGGUAAGCAACUGAAUCCCUCCUGCAAAAUAGUGACAAUCAGGAGGCACCCAAUGAUGAUAAGAGUGAUCAAAACAAUGCUUAAUCAAGACAUAGGGAGCUCCUGUUGCUUGAAGGCAUCUCUGAUCUAGAGAUAGGUAUAUAACUGGUGGUAGACUGGGUGGCUUAGGCUUUUUCUUGGAGAGGAAUGACCUAGCCAAGUGAUUCCUCAUUUGUACUACUAUAAAGAGCUGCACACGACUGCUUUCAAAAAAUGAUUAUAAACCACAGAUGCUUCAGAAUGCAGCUCUUAGGAUUUUGAGUGGAGCAGUCCACGGAGGCCUGUAAUGCCAUAUUUACAGCAACUUCACUGACUUACAGUUAGUUUCUGAUCCCAACUGAAAGGUCACUUUCAUAUUCACAGCCUUAAAUCUACUGGGUCCAGGAUAUGUUUUUAGGGCCACCUGAUAUUGUAUAAGCUUACUUUGAAGUCCUCCUCUGCAUGCUCCUGAUCAUUUGAAGUACAGUGUGUGUGUGCGCGUGCGUGCGCAGAAUAGGACACACACACACACAUACACGCACAUGCAUGCAGUGCUUUUUUCUAAAAAAAUGUUUAGGUGUAUGCGUACCCCUGCUUACUCCCAGAAAAAAGCACUGUAGAUAGAUAGAGAGAGUGUGUUUUUAUUGAAAGUUUUCAGCAUACAAUAAAAAAUAAACUAAUUUAAAUGGAAAAGAAAGAAAGAAAACAGAGAAAACAGGAGGAAAAAGAGAGAAAAAUAAAAUACAGAACUCUCUUAACCGUUAUCUUACAAAUAAAAGGGGGUGGUCCCUCUCAGCUCUCACCUGGAAACUUCCAUUUCUUCUUCCAGCCUCCCACCCUGGGAAUUCUUCCCUUCCCUGCCUCCAUCAGUCCUCCAUCACCUUCCUGUGAGUAUCCUCAUCAACCAGAAUAGGACCUUCUCAGUGAUGAUUCGAAAGUUAUAGAACUCCCUUCCUAGGCCACAUUGGGGUAUUCUGAAUGCAUUUUUAUGACAGCUGUAUGCUGUCCCCGCCCCCUUGUUUCUGCUGUUUGAUGUUUCUUUGGGGUUUUAUUGCAUUUCCUCUUCUGCACUGUGUUACCCUCACUCUGAAUGGGUGUCAAGGGAUCAGGGAGAUGGUGAAAGCACCAACGGAUGCUGGGAAGGAAAGCAUAGGUGUUGGCUAUGCUGGUGUUUUCCUGCCUAUUGUGCUAUGAUAAUUGGAUGGUCUUGGUUGGGAAGCCAGACAUAUUGCUUCCCCACCUUCUGGUAGAUUCUGCCCCUGCACACUUUGGCACCUCGGGGUGGUGGGAAAUCACACCAAAAAAGGAUGGAUGCUUUUUAGAUCAGGUGAAAGGGUUCGCACACAGUCACAAACACUUGUGGUUUCUGCUCAGAUGUACAUGAAAUGCUUUGCCCUUGAGAUGACUGCUGUAUUGCAACACUCUUCAUGCUUCAGGGGUCAUUAAUAGCACCAUGGCAGCACUUGGUGACAAAACAGAGCAUUAACCUGAUUAGCUCAUAUUUGAGCACAUCCUUUGCAAACAGCCUGGUCUUCCUUAGGAUGAGACAAAUGUCUCCAGUUUUGUGGAAUGAGACUACCGGUAUAUAUGGGUUUUUACACAAACACACCUGGGGGGAAGGCUGGGAGACUUCAUGUCCGGGACAUGAAUUGGAAAAGAACCUGCUUCACAGUGUGGAUUGGAGGGAUUUCCAACCAUGGGGGCUUGCAUCCAAAUAUGCAGGGACCAAGGAUACAGACAAUGGGUUGUGGGUGGGUGGGUGAGAUCAUGUAGGUCUUUGAUAGUUUAAUUUGUUCCCAGGUUAUUUCUCAGCUAGAAAUCAAUGUAGUCGUCCAGUGGCUUGGGAUAGUUGAGAGUUAGAAAAACGAGUUUUGGAGCCAUUAUUACUGUGGUAUGGAGGAGUCGUGGCAAAACGACACUAAGUACAUUUGUAACUUGACAAGGUUUGAAAUGCUUAGGAGGGGCACAGUUGCACUGGGCUUCAAGUUUCACAAACAGCUGCUGAAGUGAAGUGGGCAUAGGAGAUUCCAUGGCAACAAAUGGGCCCCAUGUAGUUUCCCUAUUGCCCUAGUCCAAAGGUGAGGAAACGCCAUCCUUUGGGCAAAUCUUGCUCUGCCAGGGGUUCCAACCUGGAAGGCCCUUUUUCAAAACCACUCCCACCUGUCAAUCAUCUAACAAUCUGUUGAGCAGAGGAGUAAAUCCUGCUCAUUUCGGUAGGGUUCAGUGCAAAACUGUUCCCAAUCAGGGGACUUGGGCACUUCAGAGCACCAAGUCACUUGUUGGCCACCAACUUGGAUGACUUUCAAAGAGGACAAAUUCAUGGAGGAUAAAGCUAUCAGUGUCUGCUAGUCAUGGGGUAACUGUCUUGCCUCCCCUGUUGGAGGCAGUGUGCUUCUGCAUGUCAGUUGUUGGGAACGGCAAGUGGAGAGAGUGCUGCUGUGCUCAGGCCCUUCCUUCAGGCUUCCCACAGGUUGUUUGUUGUGAGAAGAGGAUGCUGAAGUAAUUGGGCCUUUGGCCUGAUCCAGCAGGACUCUUCUGCUCAAGCAAAAGCUUAUUGGCAAAAUGGAACGAUCCUUCUCCUGUCUCUAAGAACUACUGUCACAUUGCCGCUUUCUAAUAGCAAAGACGAUGCCAAUUUCUUAAACUCAUCUCUGGAGCAAAGAGGCACUUACAGGAGCAGCCCGAUGCUGUGGCAGUUCAUUUACUCCUCUGCUGCUUGCAGUGGGAUGAAAAUGGAGCCCUGCUUAAACUUCAUUGAUGGUAGGUGGCAGAAAUUCUGCAGGAAAAGCCAGGAGGUGACAGCUGUACUGUAUGUGGCACCGCCAUGUUGCCCUACAAGAUGCCAUUUUGUGAGUUCCAGCUGCAGCCUUGGAAUGGCUCCUCCUAGUGGUGGUGAGGGCAAGUGGGGUGUGUUUGUGGUCCACACACCAUCCAAUUCCCCUGUUGCCGACACUCUGCCUGCGUUGCUAUCUCUCGCAGAGGGAACCUCCCCCCCUGCUGUCUGUGCCUCGACAAUAGUGUCAGCAGGCUCAAAGUAAAUAGUUAUUUUAUAAUCUUAUGUUUCUAUCAGUCAACUAAUGGGCUCUCUCAAACACCAGGGCUGCAGGAGUUCUGUGCCAUUAAGCUGUAUAAUGCCAUAUUUCUCAGCUGACAGUCCUGUGCUCUCAUCAGCAUUGCUUACAGUGGCAGAAUCAUAAUCAAAGCAGGUGGAAAGAAAAGAGGAACAGCAGACUCCUUUACAGAGCAGCGUGAUGUGAAGGGCAGGCUGGAUGCCUUGGGGAAGGAGCUUGGGGGCAACUGCUGGACCAGCAGCUUAAAUCCCAGUAGUAUUUCAGAGGGAGAAUUCAGGCAACGCAGCAUAUUUGGCUCCCAGAUGCUCAAUCCCCACAGCAUCUCUCUGCAGCCUGCUUGACCUUCCUUGCAAUGCAAGAUGUCAGCCUCAGAUGCUCUGCCUUUAGUCACUACAUGCCAGGGCAGGGUGGACCUACCCUAAAAGCUGGCUUGAAUGCAGCAGACAGACUUUAUGGAAAGGGAGUCUACAAAUCUUCUUCUUCUUCUUCUUCUUCUUCUUCUUCUUCUUCUUCUUCUCAUCACUCGUAGCCGAGUAAGAUUGUCUUCCAUAAACAUGGUUUUAACAAUGAGUCCUUAAGUGACUGUGGAGGCCAAUUCUGGAUCCACACGUCCUUCCACAGUGGGGACACUGGUUUCCUGGCAGGAGUUGAUAAUGGUGUGGAUUUGCCAAGCGUGCCUUCCUCUUAGCACGUUUCUCCCUUGCGUCCUGAGUUCAAGUGUCUUCAAAGCCCAUGACAGCUUUGGUAAAGGCUGUUCUCCAAUUGGAGCACUCACAGGCAAGUGUUUCCCAGUUGUCAGUGUUUAUACUCCAUUUUUUUAGAUUUGCCUUGAGACAGUCUUUAAACCUCUUUUGUUGACCACCAGCAUUACGCUUUCCAUUUUUAAGUUCGGAAUAGAGUAGUUGCUUUGGAAGACAAUAAUCAGGCAUCCGCACAACAUGACCAGUCCAACAAAGUUGAUGUUGAAGAAUCAUUGCUUCAACACUGGUGAUCUUUGCUUCUUCCAGUACACUGGUAUUAGUUUGCCUGUCUUCCCAAGUGAUGUGUAAAUUUUUUUGGAGACACCAUUGACGGAAUCUUUCAAGGAGCUGGAGAUGGCAUUUAUAAGUGGUCCAUGCUUCACAAGCAUACAGUAAGGUUGGUAGAACAAUAGCUUUGUAAACAAGCAUUUUCAUUUCCCUGCGAAUGUCCUCAAACACUCUGCACUUCAAUCAGGAGAAAGCUACAGUCGGAGAGCUCAGGCGAUGCUGGAUUUCAGCAUCAAUGUUGGCUCUUGUGGAAAGAUAACUGCCCAGGUAGGAGAAGUGAUUGACAUUUUCCAACGUUACACCAUUGAGUUGGAUUUGUGGCACUGCAGAGGGGUUAUUUUGUACUUGGUUUCAUUUGGGAGUUCCAACAGUAUCUGAAUGGCCACUGAAUCCCCAUUUAGGGAAGCAAUAAGGGGAGCUUUUUGCUGAACCACGGGAGUGGUGUGAGAGUGGCACUGGAAAGAACUAUGAGAGGGAAAACCAGAGCAUUGUAGAGUGGGGACAGAGAUUCUUUAUAUCAAUGACUGUAGCUUCUAUGCAGCAGCAGCAGACUUCUCCUUCAAGGGUAUGGCUCACUAGGGAAAAAAUAUCAGUUUGUAAUUUAUGAUUAUCAUAUGCAAUUUGUGCAAUCAGGAGCUGAUACUGCAAGGAAAGAGAUGAACUGCAAAAGAGGGUCAAGCAAAUCAGAGCCCUGAGCGGCCAAUAGCAGCAGGCUUAUUUUGGGUGAUGGUGCUUCAACGGCAUCAGUGUGAGCCAAUCAAGAUAACAUGCAGGAAGAAGUGGUGGUGAAUGAGUCAUAUGCUGUUUCCUUGGUCUCUUGAUGGGUCCCAAAAGUGGUGCAUGCUGCAAUUUCUGGCUACCACCACCGAGUAAAAGGCAUCUAAUUUGACACACUCCUGGGGAUAGCUGCCUUGCAGACGUGCUUGUAGAUCAGUGGCUCCAGCUACAUAGUUGGUGCAAUUGUGACGGUCUUUGGCAGUGCUGUUGCAGGUUUGUCCUUCUUUCAGAGCUAUGGCAAUCCUUUCAGCUGUACCAUAACUGAAGGCAACGGCAAGAACAGGAGCCCCAUACAAUACAGAGAAGCCACACAAAACCACACAAAACCAUUAAGCAUGAAUCAAGCAGAAAGCUUUGUGUUUUUGCUUAGUGGUGCAAGGUGUUGGUGUGCAUCUUCAAAAGCAGAAUCCCAUCAUCCCCAAAUCAGAAUAAGAGACGGCUGCCUGGAAAGGGAAAGGCCAGUCAUGUUAUUUGCUGCUGCUCCACACAUCCCCUCUUUGCUGUGCUUGUGGCUUUCCAGCUCAUCCGUCAUGCAGCAACGACAGUCAGCGUGUGACUAAUUUACCCGUAGCUGACUUUAAUAAAUCAUCAGGAAAGCACCGGCUCGGGCACAAAUGAAAAAUUACUUAAUUUUAAUUAAGACUGCACAAUUAAUUUGCAGGACUCCUGCCAGGAGCUGGGGGGUCACUCCGUUCCUGAGCCAGUGCAGUUGGCUUGCCUUGCAGAUGGUAAUAGAAAUCCAGGCUGUUUGGCUGAAAUCUGUGUGGGAUGAGAUGAGGGCAGGAAGCCUGCAGGGCUGGCAGGCACCUGCCUGUUUGGAAACAAGCAAAGCCUUCAGACAGCAUUAAGAGGAAUGCAAGGCAGGAAUAGAUACAGCGGUACCUCAGGUUACAGACGCUUCAGGUUACAGACGCUUCAGGUUACGGACUCCGCUAACCCAGAAAUAGUAGCUCAGGUUAAGAACUUUACCUCAGGAUGAGAACAGAAAUCGCAUGGCAGCAGCAGGAGGCCCCAUUAGCUAAAGUGGUACCUCAGGUUAAGAACAGACCUCCAGAAGAAAUUAAGUUCUUAACCAGAGGUACCACUGUACGUAGGUUGGAUACCUGGGGUUGGAUCCCAUGAGCUGCUUUGGAUUUGAGCAUUUCUAGAAGGGUUUCCUGGUUCUUUUCUGUAAACAGCAGAGCUCCCCAUGCACCCAUCCCAUAUGCCACAGCACAAAUUCCUUUUUUUUAAAAAAAAAAUUUUAUUAACAGGCCAAUCACAUCACAUUAAUUCCAAAUCACAAUAAUUCCAAAUUACACAGCCAAUUUUUUUAAAAUUUUUGUUGGGGGUACCCAUGCUUCGAGCUCCGAAAGGGAUCCAAUCAUCUCUCUUACUGCUGCUUUAAUUACACAGUUCUGUCAAAAUAUUAUUCACAGUUCUGUUCAAUCUUCUCUUUGUUGUUUUCCUCAUCUUGUUGUUGUUAUCAUAUAUUCCUUUCUUUGUGAUCUCUGAUAAUCUCCACAAGCAGGUUGAAGACAAACGUUGUUAUAUCCUGUGUGGAUUUUACACUCAUCCAAGAGCCAUAAAAGUAGACAGACGUCAUUUCAACACCUCCGUACAAAACAUUCCGACAGUCUGUCCUGAUCUCCCCAGGCCCGCCGCUCCCUCAUAAAUUUUCUCAGCGGGCCCUCCUAUGCCGAACCCACACUCCAACAUAGUAACAGCCAUAGUCCUCCUCCCCCUGAAUUCCUGCGGGCGGGCCUGCCAUGAUGAAUCUCUUUUUAUGACUGCGUCACAAAGGACUUACUUUCGUUUCCCGAUGCUCCCAUAAGCCAUGUCCUUGCAUAGUAAUUAAUUUCCACACAGUUCUUAUUCCUCCUGCUUGUGAUCAGUAAUUGCAACAAUUCUUUUUUGGGGGGGGAGGAUUAUUGGGUAAUCACAUAAGACAAAAAAAGAAAAGUUUUUCUCCCCCCCUCCUUUUCAGUCUCGCUCCGACAUACCGAUCCUUUGAUGAAUCUUCUUCUUGAUUUAUUCUUCUUCUUGAUUUAUUGUUAAGUCCAGCCCGUCGCUCCACUUCCCAGAGAUCCCUUUAGUUAGCAGUCUUUACUCCCGAUCUUCGCUCGAAGUAUGUGCGUUUGCUUCUGUCCUGAUUGUUUAUCUAGAGCUCCCGCAACUAGCUGCGCAGAUCAGAGACAGUGUCCAGGAGAGCCGACCCACACGAGGGCUUUUGUGCCUAGUGCCCUCACCCCCUUUCGAAUCCGGGGAUGAAUUAUGGCCACAGCAGGCAAGGCAGCGUUUCCCAUUCGCUUGGGGUAACGAGGGAGGCUGCAUACUCCCAUAACAGCCUCUUAAUUACCUCGUGUGAGCCGGAGAGAUGGUAUUGUCGGCCAUCUUCCAAUGCCUCCCCUAGCGGCCCCCCAGCACAAAUUCCUUCUGAUAGUCACUUCGGCCUCAAAAGCAGUUUGCCACCUAUACCAGGAGAGGUUCCCGUUCAAGAGACACAACAGACAAUGCCCUUUGCAUAUGGGUCAGGCCAAUGACCCAUCUGGCCCAGCACCCUGUUCUCACAGUGGCCCCCCCCCAGAUGCCUGUGGGAAACCCUCAAGCAGAACCUAAGCACCAAAGCACUCCCCACACGGCCCCAUGGUUUCCAGAAGCACUGGAGAGAUGCAUGAUUCUGAUCAUAGCUAAUAUUGAUGUUGAGGGUAUUCCUGCACACAGACCAAACAUAGGAAGAGCCCUGCUGGGUCAGAUUAAAGGCCCAUCUAGUCCAGCUUCAAAUUUUCCACCGUGGCCAAAUAGAUGCCUAUGGGGAGCUCACAAGCUGGGCAUGAGGACAACGGCUCUCUCCCACUGUUGUUCCCCAAAGACUGGCAUUCAGAUCCAUACCUCCUUUGGUGCAGGGAGCAGCCAUGAUGACUAGCAGUCAUUCACAACCUUGUCCUCCAUGAAUUUGUGUACUCCCCUUCCUCUAUUUAUUUUUUUUUAAAAAACUGAAUAGCACUAUAAACAUAUUUUUUAUAUAUAAAUAAAUAAGCUCUGUACUGUAUACACAAGGACUAUGCAAUGGUGGUGACAUGUGGGGCAGGGGACAGGUGACAAUGAGCGUUCACCGAAGAGUCGCUACCUUGUCUCUUGUGUUACCGGCACACCAAUUUGCUCCCGCUGUGAGCUCUGACAAUGUGAUUACUCUCCUGGGUUCCAAGACUAUCUUAAGGCACAGUUGAAAACAGAUCAGACAUCAAGGUUGCAAUUGUAAUGGUGACUGUCAUAUAAAAUGAUUAGAUGAAGUACGGAUAGAACUGUUGGGAGAUGCAAGCUGAUGAUCAGAAGUGCAGUUCUGUUCUGAGCUGGUGUGUUUUGGCUGCCAGAUGCCAUGGGUCAGCACCAGGGGGGUGGGAUGCUGCCAUUGCCCGUGCUUCUUUGUGGCUUUUAACUGGCCUUGAUUGAUAGGGCAGGAUGCAGAGGCAGAUGGACGAGUGUAUGAAGCAGGCUGGCCAUUCCUGUGUUUUUAACCCGAACCUACUAAUAUAUAACCAAUUCUACUGGAAUCAAUAAGGCCAUCAAAGAGUAAAUGGAUUAAGAAUUGUGGAGCGUUUCAUCUUAUGCAGAAGAGGAAAAUAAUGCGGGAAAGGAAAGGGAAGCUCUUUCCAAACAUAUGGUUGCUUCCCCCCCCCUUUCGUGUUACCAGCAGUUUGAUGGAUGCUGCUACACUGUGAAAUAGCCUGUAAUUACUCAGUGGGACAGUGUGGAUUCAUCAAGCAGUGAUCAAUAUUCACAGCAUCCAAUCAGGUGAAAGUCUUCAGUCCUGGUCUUCGGGCAUAAAGAAGCUCUAAGCUGAUGGAUAGAUGCUGUUUACGUGACAAGCCACAUUACAGGAUUCUCACAGUAAUGCAGUACACACACACACAUGCCCCUUCAGCUAUUUAUUGUAUACAUGGGGGGGGGGGUGGAGAGCAAAAUGUGGGAGAGGGAGGAAAGGGGGUGGAAAAGAUUGGGGGGAGGUGCCCACCCACCAUCGGCUGUGACCUCAUACACCACCAGCAAGUGACUUCCAACAGAUUACUCUGAGGGAAUGUGGCUCUUGACAGGAAAAAGAAAGGUUCUGCACCCCUGUUCUAUUGGAUCAUUCACACAGGGCAUUAAAGGGAAGCAACACUAUCCCUCCCUUCCAUGACAAUGUCAUUUUGUGUACCUUUUUUGUUGUUGUUUUUAAAAAAUCAGUGCUGAGUGUUAGUCAAGUGUUGGGCCACCAUCUAGCUCCUGAGUGGAACUGAUCCCAACACAAUUAGGAGUUCCCUCUAAGGCUCAUCUGUAGCCGUGGCGUCAUUCUGCAUCAGCGGCAAGGAUUGUACCACACUUCUCCAGUGCAACGGAAUGAAUGCAGAAUGAAUGCACAUCUCUUCUGAUUAUUUAGGGGGGAAGGAGACUAUCAAUUUUACUCCAGGGUUCCCAAUAGUGAAACCGGCAAGCAUCCAUUUCCUUCCCUUUUACAUCUUUUAAUCUUAUUUUGUUGAUCAUUUUAAUAUACAGAAAAAGACAGAAAGGGUGAAAUUGUGAAAAACAAAUAAGCUAAUGUCCAGCUUAAAAAAAACAGAUUGUAGAUUUCCAUAUCAUAACCAAGCAGAGUCAAUUAAAAUCAUAAAGGUCCAAAUAAUAUAAACAGAUCUGCAGUCUUGAACCUUCUUACUCCAGUACCUUAUAAGAGCACCCAAUUUUUCUACCAAUUUUUUAAUCUGGUUAUCUGCCUUCUCAGACUCCUGCCAUAACAUCCUUUUUCAGGGGAGCAAAAAGAGAGCUGUGAACUAUUUGCCCAAGGGAGAGAAUAUACCUGGAGUAUGCUUUCCAUGGGCAUGUGACAAAGAUUUGACCUUAAGUACGCAUGUUUGGAAGUAAACUAUGUUGAUGCCAGUGGAACUUAUUUUUGAGUAAACAUGGUUGAGAUCAAUAUUCAAGCCCAUCAUUUUCAGAAGAGGUAAUUGUAUUUGCAGUGGUUCACUGAGAGGCAAUCUCUUUCUGCAAAUUUAGCUCCAACUCCCUGGUGAAAUCCUUGCAAGUAGUCAUCGGGGUUUGCUUUUGCCUCUUCCAGCUAUGUGUGGCACUUGGAGAUGAUAGUUGCUGUGAGUGCAAGAGGGCAUCAUGUUUCCAUGCCACCAAGCUGUGAUCAGAAAACCCUUUGCUAGCUUUUUGGCUGGUCAGAAGGGGAGGAAGAGGAGGUGGCAGUCAAUGGGAAUUAAUCUGGAUUAUUAUUUUUAAAAGAGGAAGUACCAUCUCAAUGCAAGCAAGGCGAUAAAAUGAAGUCAACGAAUGCCUGUGUUUGGUAGAUACCCGACCCCCUCCCUUCUCCUUUUCUGACCCCAGGGGUACAUUUGCUUAGCAACCUGCCUUCCACUCUCUUUCAAAAUUCUACUGAGGGAAGGUUUUACUUCUUCAAUUUUGUUCCAUUAGAAGUAAUGAAAAGGAUCUGUCAGCAUGAACAUCUGGAAUUUCUAUUGGGGAAAACUAACUUUCAGCCGAGGAGCUGACUCCUGCUGCAAGACAACAAGCCCCUGGAUACAUCAGCAACAGGCAGGAGGUCUUUUAAUGCUUGCCUUGCCCUCAAGCGGCUCUGGCAGCUUUCAAGUGUUCCACCAGGAGGACCACUGUCUCUGGCAAAAUCUGACUAAAUGGGUGCAUUGAUUUAAUGCUAAGCAGAUGCUGUCAAGUAAUUAAGACACUCCACUUGGAGGAGUUGCAUUGGGAAAGGAUGAGAAGACACACACACACACCCCAAAGAUGACUAGGCUUCUUUUAUCAUUGUUUAAUAUGGGAUGGGUGGAUGGAUGGAUGGAUAAUAAAUGAAUGAAUGAAAUAAUGAAUGAAUGAAUGAAUGAAUGGAGGUAUUUUGCUGUGGUGUGCCUGGAAAAUGGAAGUCGCUAAGCAGGCACAUGACAAAUGGAGAGAGAGAAAGAGAAUCUGAGACAGAUAGCAAAGAGAGAUCUCUGAUGUGGACUGCUCUGGCCUUAGGGGCCUUUUCAGAUGAUGAAAGAAAUGGCUUUUUUUGUUUGUUCAAUGGGGAAGGGUCAUGAGUCUUGCAUACGGAAGGUCCCACAUUCAAUCCCUUGCUUAUCCAGGUAGGGCUGGGAGAAGACUUGCUGUCUGAAUCCCUGGAGAGCUGCUGCCAGUUAGCAUAGAUUAUAUUGGGCUAGAUAGACCAAUGGCAGCGUCCUAUGUUCCUAUGCCCGCCUUCCCCAACCUGGUGCCAUGCUGGCUGGUACUGAUGGAAGCUGUAGUCCAAAGCAUCUGGUGCUAUGCUGGCUUAAACGUCAUGAUGGCAGGCUUUGUAAUCUGACCCACAGGUGGUAGGUGCCCACAGUUUGCAAGAACGUUUGUCUUGUCUGAACAACAAAGGUGACACACAGGGAGGGGAAAAAGCCAAAUAUUAUAGGUCUUAAACCCCAGAAGAAUGUGUUUAUUAUUCCUGCUCCAGCAUUAAGUAAUAGGAUUGCAUCUGCUCAAAUGAAACAAGCUGGAGUCUAAGCUUUAUUCUUAUCCAGAUGUAUCAGUGGAAAGGAAAAGGAACUCUGCAUAGGCGCCAAAAUAUCUUUUUACAUAAUGAGUACUAAGGCUGAGCAUGGGUCUUGCAAACGGGUUCCAGGGGUUGGUUCUGAUGGGACACAUUUUAAGACAUUUCUAUAUUAUUUUAUUGUAAGCAUGUGACCCUACGCAUAUUUGCUUGCGAGUAGAUUCCCCUAUGUUAUUGGGCUUAUUUGUGUGCUUAGGAUUGCAGUCUGAGACCUUGUGGAGGCAAGCCUUAAUUCUAGCAUUAUAUUUGCAUGGCACAAAGUAAUACUUUCUUUAAAGGUCCUGUACAGAAAUGGUACCAGCCCAAGAUCCGUGCAUUGCCUCUGUGUUGCUUAUAAUAAGACUUGUAUUAAAACUAAAGAGGGUUUGGUUGAUGGAUAUGCUGCCUUUGAAGUAAUCAAUUAAAUUUAAACAAAUUUUCAUGUCACCAGAACCCUUUUGGGCUGUUGAAAAGACUAUUAAGAUAACUUAACAAUUUAAUAAAGAAAAGCUGCAACGCGUUGUGAGAAGGAAAGGCCCCACUUAUUAUAUUAUAAUUCCUUUUUCAUUUCCUAUUGCAGUAACACAAUACCAUUACCAAACCAAAAUAGCCUCAGUAUAUAAACUCGGGUGCCCUAAAAACUCCAAGCCUUGCCCAUUAAUAUUUGCCUCUGCCAAUUAAUCAGCUAAAGCUUUCGCUGAUUAAUGUAGUAUAAGAAGCUCACAGCCUUCAUUAAAACUUGCAGUGCCUUUCCGACAAAGCCUUUGCUUCUCAGCAGGACUUUCCAUGCAUGUACCCCAUGCGUAUCUCUUCACUUGUGACAAAUCUGCCUCGUUUACCAUAUUUUCACAUGGCGAACAUAGAAAUGCAUGUCCGUGGGAGUUCCCAUAUUGCCUGUGCAAGUUGUGCAUUGCAAACUGGCCAUGUGGAAAUGGUUAGGAUAAUUUCUGGAUGCUGGACCAGCAGGCUGCGUGGGGGUGGUGGGGGUGGUUGUGACCAGCGGGGGGCGGAGGCGAGAGAGAAUCUCGCUGUUCUGCACUAGCUCCCAAGCCUGUCAGAGGCACCAGCUGGAGUUUCACCCAGGUGUCAGGCACAGGCAGGUGGAAUAUGAUUCUCAUUUCACAGAAUCAUUAAUCUUCUUUUGGCAGCCUUGCCGAUGAGAUGGGCUCAUGUGAGAUGUGGCCUCCUCACCCCCAUUCUUUUGGCAGAGGGAGUGCCUGUCCCAAGACGUCUUGCUCCCCCCAACAUGACAUAAACAAAAAUGUCGGUGCAAGGGAGAAAGGGGGCUUCUGCUCUGUCUAGAGGCCCUUGGCACAAAGUUUAGUCACUGGGAAGGUUUGAUCUGCAUGGGCAGUCAGCCCUAAGCUGAAGUGCCAUUGCACAGGGCCUGGGCUGUGGGGAAGAAGAGCUGCCAGGAAGAAAGAGGAGACCUGCAGAAGAUCCCAUUGCGCCAUGGCACCAUCUGGUCAGGACUUCAGGGCAGGAGUCUGGAGCCUCACUUGGCAGAUGAACGGGGGGGGGGGGCCUCUGCAAAUGCACCUACUAGGUGGGGAGAGGCUGCCCCAGAUGAUGCAACACGCUGGGGUAUGGGUGGGAAUGAGGCAGUUACUGACACCAGAUCUUCUGCUGCUGUCACCACAAACUGAGGGGGGUGGACAUGAUUGUGAAUAAUGAAACAAAUGCGUCUGCAGCAAAUGUUUAACAAAACAAAUGUGAUUUUAGCAAAGAAAAUACAAGGGAUCUUCAAGAGUGAAAAUGAACGUAACUACAGAGCAAAAGAAAAAUCUCUCAGCACCCUUGUUUCGUAUGGAAGAGCACUUGAAGCCCUUGGUCCCUUUGCCUCAAUCUCCCAGAUUUUCAUUAAACAACCCUUUGAGCAGUGCUUUUUUCUGGGGGUAUUCAAGGGUAUGCACCUUUUUUUCUAGAAGAAAAGCGCUGGUUAAAAAGCACUGAUAUUCACCAGAGCAGAGAUGAGGCAUCUAUGGCCCUGUAGACAUCAUUAGAUGCCUAUCAUGAUGGGUG